CAUGGAUGAGGUGCAUGCUGGGACAUGGAACGUGGUUGGUCAGACGUUCGUCCACCUCCAGAGGUCCUGACUUAAGCAGUGGAGAAAGUAAGGAUGCCAUCAAGUCAGGAAAUCCUGGAGAAGGAUGGAAUUUGUUGGGGGAAAAAAGCUUGACUCUGGCUAUGUUGGGUUAGCAGUCCUUACAGACAUCCAUGUGAACAUUUUAAACAAACAAAUAGAGACCUGGGCUUGAAGACAAGGAGGGAGGUCAGGACUAUAAUACCAAUGUGUGAGUCAUAUUACAGAAGAUGGAAUUAGAUUAUUGACUAAAAAGCUAGAAGCAGAAGUUUUUGAUGGGCUGCACAGUUCUCUGGUGUGGUUGCUGUCUCUAUGGUCAGUUGUCACCUUCUGCUGCUCUAUGUCGCAUUAUCAGGGCAUGGGUGAGCAUAUGCGGUCUAUUCCCAUUCUCCAUCUGUGUCCUAUAUCAGUCCUUAAUCUUUACAGUUGAAACAGGAGGUAGUGCUACCUACUAUGUGGCCAGAAAGUACCUUGACCCUAACAAGCAGAAUCUGUUUGUUUGUUUGUUUAAUCUGGCUCAGUUUAAGUCAGGGUUUCUAUUCCUGCACAAAACAUGACCAAGAAGCAAGUUGGGGAGGAAAGGGUUUAUUCAGCUCACACUUCUACAUUGCUGUUCAUCACCAAAGGAAGUCAGGACUGGAACUCAAGCAGGUCAGGAAGCAGGAGCUGAUGCGGAGGCCAUGGAGGGAUGUUACAUACUGGCUUGAUUCCCCUGGCUUGCUCAGCUUGCUUUCUUAUAGAACCCAAGACCACUAGCCCAGGGAUGGCACCGCUGACAACGGACCCCACCCCCACCCCCUCGAUUACUAAUUGAGAAAACGCCUUACAGCUGGAUCUCAUGGAAGCGUUUCCUCAAGGGAGGCUCUUUUCUCUGUGAUAACCUGAGCUUGUGUCAAGUUGACACACAAAACCAGCCAGUAUAGGCCCAGAUUUUUUUGCUCUCAAAAUGUUUCUACAGUGGUGACAAUCUUAUUAUUUGAUAAUAAUCAAGUCACUCAGCAUGAAUGAUUGGCUUUUCCCUCUCAACCAUAUUGCUUGAGGUGUCACAUGAGUUUCUAGUUCUAAUGACUAGGUCUGGCUGUUUACAAACUCUUUCCAGGUACGCGUCUCGCCAGCUGAUGGUCAGGGAUUACCAGUCACCAUGGCAAUGCUUAGACUGUCCCUUCCCAUGCUCACGGACAAGGACUCGGGUUGUGGCCUCCCAUUCUGUUCAUGCUUCUGCCUCAUGAAAUUUCCGUUCUGUGCGGCAACUAUGUUUUCCAUUUGUUCUAAUUAAAUAGUAGCAAAUGUUUGUGUCUGUCAAUUCCUUACAUAAAAUCACCCAGGCAGCCUCCUCCCUCCCUGAAGUGAAGCUGACAACAGAUGCAAGGGUGUAUUGUAGAGUUAAACAGUGUGCUUGUGUGACUGAAGCCAGCACAGAAGCACUGUGACAACUGGACGUCACCCUGGCUGUGGAGUAUGUGUGUGUGUGUGUGUGUGUGUGUGUGUGUAUGUGUAGGGCGGUGACAGUGUCUUACUGUGAGCACAUACUGGCUUCUUCUGUUAGAUCCCAGAAUGACACCCUUUUUUAUUCUACCUGUGAGCCUCCAUCCCCUUCUGAACCCACAAAGCCCUCAUACGACCCACAGCAAGGGCAGGGGUCAGGGAAGGCCUAGACAGGGGUGGGAAUAUUUGCAGACUCUCUGGCUGUUUUUCUUUGGCCUUUGCGGGCUUAUCUGGGUUACUCCUGAGGCUGGAUCUUCAGAUUUCCUCUCCACUUUUCUUGCAGGUGACUGGGAGAUCACUUAAAUGUAAGCGACACAGGGAUCCUGGUUCCCUUUUGUCUUUAACUUUGAGGCAACAUCUUACUAAGUGUCCCAUGCUGAUCUUGAACACACUCUGUAGCCCCAAACAGGCCUUGGAUUCAAGAACCUGCUUCUUCUUCCAAAACACACGUGGAGCUGAGGAGUAGCUGUAACUCUAAACUCGAAGCUGUGGGCUGUUUCCCAGAACCUAUCCCAACCUCGGUCAACUUUCCCUCAUAAUCUCCUGUCCCAAAGUAGAUGACUCCGUCCCUUCCCGAACUGAUUACUAGACAAGGAGAAUGAAAUCAGCAGAAUUGCCUUAGACUAAUCAAGAUUCAUUUACUGACAUUGGGGGCAAGGUUGUUCUUUCCUUGUAACAUGCCCCUGCGAUGGAAUGCAGGGAAUUCCAUGAAACGUACAAAUACAUUUUAAGGGUGUGGGGCUGGGGAGAUGAUUUCGCAGAUACAGUGCUUGCGAUCCACACAUGAAGACCAGCACCAACAGAAAAGGCAUGCACUGCAGCCCUACACCUAGCACUAACGGCAGAGGUGGGGUCCCCAGAGCUCCCUACCUAUCCUGUCUAGCCAAUUGAUGUGCUCUGGGCUCAGUGAGUGACACUACCUUAAAAUACAAGUAUAUAAAGAUAUAUAGACAGUAUAAAAAAUAAAAACAACAGCUAAGGAGGGGACUUGAUGUUAACCUCUGACCUCCAUGUGCAUGUGUACACAUGGACAAACACAUAAUCACACAAUACAACGCUAAUAGUAAUAAUAAUAAUAAUAAUAAUAAUAAUAAUAAUAAUAAUAAAUGUCAGAAAGAUGGCUCAACAGGUAAAGGCACUUUCUGCCAUUCCUGGGACCACAUGUUGGAAUAAAAUAACUCCUACAACUUGUCCUCUGACCUCUAUACUCCCUGGUCAAUGUAUACACACAUACCCACCCCCCCCCACACACACAGAGUAACUAAACGUAAUAAGUACGGUAAUAGGCAUCAGUCUGCUGUAGUGACUACAUCACUCAUAAGGAAAGUAGCUAGCUGUGAGGGUGGCAAGCAAGCCAGGGAGCACCAUCUUGUCACCAUUUCAGGUUUCUGUGUGUUUGAGUUCCUGCCCUGACUUCCCUCAGUAGUGGGCUAUGACAAGGCCCAAACUGAGACAGCAUAGAAUUCAUUUCCAUUUUCCAAAGGAGGAGACAAGGACCUAGAAGUACACUCAAUGCCCACCCAAGGCUGCACAGGCAGCUCACUCUAGGCUUUAUUCAGUCACCAAAUAAGCUGCUGCUGGCUCUUCUUGUCCUAGAGUCACCUUUCUUGACAAUGAAUUUGGAAUUUGGCUAAGACCUGCUUCUGAUGUCUUGGUGUCUUGUUGCUGAAGACGACUGAAGGCUAAAGGCCAGAGCUGGGGACCGAACCCAAGCGCUCUACCGCUGAGCUAAAUCCCCAACCCCCCAAGGGACCGUGGAGCCUGCAGCUGAAGUGACAGCCUCUUUCAGGAUGUGUCCUCCUUCGUACAGUGCGCAAACAGGUCAGAGAGGCUCCAGGCAAUGUGGAAGAGCUGUCUUCUCUCUCUGGGUAAAGUCAGUUUAUAAAACAAACAAAUUAAACAAAUCCUGUGAGUAUUCAUUCCACGGAGUUUUUGCCCAAAGCUACAAGCAUCCGUUUGAGGUUUUAGUGACAGCAGCAGUGGGUUAGGCCAUGAGUGUAGUGAUCAGUCCGCCAUCCUUUCUGGGGUCAGCAGCUAAUGUUAUGGCUCAGUAUUUAGCAGGUUGGAAGAACUGGGUUUACCGUAUAUUUUGGAGAGUCUUGAAUGGUUGUCCGUGAGAAAUUUAGAAUCCCUGGUUCAGUGUUAUAGAAAAUUAGAAGGGCUUUGCCAAUGAUGGCAAAGUCUUCCACGAACUCUGUUAGGUUCCUAGCCACUGUGUUCUCACUGUGAGUGAUGGGUCUAUCUACCAAUCCAAUUUAGAGGUCCCCUUAGUCCCUUUUCACUUAAGUCACGAAGCUAAAGGAGAGUCCCAAGAGCAGAUCAUGAAAGACACAGACACGGAAUGGGGGGUGGGGAGGAGGGUUGGCCCAGAAAUAAUUGAGAAUUGUGCUUAACAAUCUCUUGACCAAGAAACAUUGAAUAUGAUGACAAAUUCAAGCAUGGGAUGGGGAGGCUAGCUGGAGUCUUAGGUCACCUGCUGUAGUCAGGGCCAGGGCAAAGAGCGCUUCUCAACAAGGUAUAAAUGAGACUGGGUGCUGGGAAGGAGGUGAACAGGCGCCUUGCCCCAGCCUGCGCUUGCUGCCUGGGUGAACAGUGAACGCUCAGUGCUUGGAUUUGGUAACCUGUCACCUUGAGCCUUUUGGACCAGAGCCUGUCACAUGAAGGUCUUCCAGUCCCAUGACUGUGAAUCAGGGCUGUCCUCCAGGGGCUUGGGAAAAGAAAUGAGUAACCAGAUUGUACCAGACCCUCGACUGUCUCCCAGUGACCUGCACCCAUGCUAGGCCCAACCCUGGUAGAAGACUUGGUAAAAAGCUCCAAGGCAGGAGAGGCAGGAGGCCACUCCUAGCUGCCACUGGGUCCCUUCUGUUGUGUUUUAUUUAAAGAAAAAAAAGAAAGAAAGAAAGAA